ACGCAUCUCUGGCGGCGAGGGUGCGCCCUGCUCCGGACCGAAAGGCCGUGCAGCGGGCUAGCCCGGACCGCUCAACCUUUGCAAACCCACCGUGCACUUUUGUCGGCAGAGGGCCUCGUGGCCCCGAGCCGGAUCGCAAACACUUUGUCGAACGAAUGUGAGCGGACACUGAGCCGCCUAAAACUUUAA
rnacentral:misc_RNA from 1 species